UGGGAGUGUGUCAAUUGGCAUUUUGAAGA
rnacentral:piRNA from 2 species